rnacentral:rRNA from 1 species
UACGUAGGGUGCGAGCGUUGUCCGGAUUUAUUGGGCGUAAAGAGCUCGUAGGCGGUCUGUUGCGUCCGCUGUGAAAACUCGGGGCUUAACCCCGAGCCUGCAGUGGAUACGGGCAGACUAGAGGUAGGUAGGGGAGAAUGGAAUUCCCGGUGUAGCGGUGAAAUGCGCAGAUAUCAGGAGGAACACCGGUGGCGAAGGCGGGUCUCUGGGCCGAUACUGACGCUGAGGAGCGAAAGCGUGGGGAGCGAACAGG